CGGCGCGCCCGCCGCCGCGGCCUCCUCGAGGUGCGUCCCCGACUGUCCCCAACAUCUGCCACCCGUCCCCGCGGGGUCCCCGAGACGUUCUCCAUCCCCUUGGUGUCCCCAAGACGUUCUCCAUCCCCGUGGCGUCCUCGAGAUGUUCUCCAUCCCCGUGGCGUCCCUGAGAUGUUCUCUAUCCCCACGGUGUCCCCGAGGUGCUGUCUGUCACCCGUGUGUCUCCAGGGCGUCCCUGCAGUGUCCCCCAUGGUGACCUGAGGUGUCCCCCCAGGUGUUCUCCAUCCCUGAGGUGUCCCCAAGAUGUUCUCCAUCCCCGUAGGGCCCCAAGAGGUUCUCCAUCCCCACGGUGUCCCCGAGGUCACCCAUCCCCAGUGCCUCUCCAUGGAGUCCCCAUGGUGUCCCUAAGGCGUUCUCCAUCCCCGAGGUGUCUGUGGGGUGUCCCCAAGGUGUCACCCAUCCCCAGUGCCUCUCCACGGAGUCCCCAUGGUGCCCCCAAGGCGUUCUCUAUCCCCGAGGUGUCUGUGGGGUGUCCCCAAGGUGUCACCCAUCCCCAGUGCCUCUCCACGGAGUCCCCAUGGUGCCCCCAAGGCGUUCUCUAUCCCCGAGGUGUCCGUGGGGUGUCCCCAAGGUGUCACUCAUCCCCAGUGCCUCUCCAUGGAGUCCCCAUGGUGCCCCCAAGGCGUUCUCUAUCCCCGAGGUGUCACCCAUCCCCAGUGCCUCUCCACGGAGUCCCCAUGGUGUCCCUAAGGCGGUCUCGAUCCCCGAGGUGUCUGUGGGGUGUCCCCAAGGUGUCACCCAUCCCCAGUGCCUCUCCACGGAGUCCCCAUGGUGCCCCCAAGGCAUUCUCUAUCCCCGAGGUGUCACCCAUCCCCAGUGCCUCUCCACGGAGUCCCCAUGGUGCCCCCAAGGCAUUCUCUAUCCCCGAGGUGUCCGUGGGGUGUCCCCAAGGUGUCACCCAUCCCCAGUGCCUCUCCACGGAGUCCCCAUGGUGUCCCUAAGGCGGUCUCGAUCCCCGAGGUGUCUGUGGGGUGUCCCCAAGGUGUCACCCAUCCCCAGUGCCUCUCCACGGAGUCCCCAUGGUGUCCCUAAGGCGGUCUCGAUCCCCGAGGUGUCUGUGGGGUGUCCCCAAGGUGUCACCCAUCCCCAGUGCCUCUCCACGGAGUCCCCAUGGUGCCCCCAAGGCAUUCUCUAUCCCCGAGGUGUCACCCAUCCCCAGUGCCUCUCCACGGAGUCCCCAUGGUGCCCCCAAGGCAUUCUCUAUCCCCGAGGUGUCCGUGGGGUGUCCCCAAGGUGUCACCCAUCCCCAGUGCCUCUCCACGGAGUCCCCAUGG